rnacentral:rRNA from 1 species
AAUCAACGCUGGCGGCGUGCCUAACACAUGCAAGUCGUGCGCGAAAGGGGCUUCGGCCCUGAGUAGAGCGGCAAACGGGUGAGUAACGCGUGGGUGACCUACCCUUGAGUGGGGGAUAACAGUCCGAAAGGAUUGCUAAUACCGCAUGACAUCCUGUUCUUGAACGGAUGGAGAUCAAAGCCGGGGAUCGCAAGACCUGGCGCUCGAGGAGGGGCUCGCGUUCGAUUAGCUAGUUGGUGGGGUAAUGGCUCACCAAGGCGACGAUCGAUAGCCGGCCUGAGAGGGCGGACGGCCACACUGGGACUGAGACACGGCCCAGACUCCUACGGGAGGCAGCAGUGGGGAAUUGUUCGCAAUGGGCGCAAGCCUGACGACGCAACGCCGCGUGGAGGAUGAAGAUCUUCGGGUCGUAAACUCCUGUCGACCGGGACGAAAUUUCCGGGAGCUAACAUCUCCCGGGAUUGACGGUACCGGUGGAGGAAGCCCCGGCUAACUCCGUGCCAGCAGCCG